GGCAAAGCUGAGCCCAGUCCCCGCAUCAGCCGGGCACCUCCCGCCACCACCAGCCACUCCCCAGCUGGUACCACACGCCUCCGUCGCUGAGUACCCAUGAAGGGCCCAGCUCCUGGGCAAGGACACCCCCAUCCCAGCCUUUACCACCCCCAGUGCAGCUGUUUUCCACUGUUUCCCAGAUUCUGAGAACCGCUGUAAACAGGUGGAGGGUCACACAGAAGUGGGCAGCAGACUCUGAAAGGUUAACAUCUUCUUUCUUCCAGUUGCCGCAGUUGCUAUGGAUAUUUCCUCCAGGAGGCUGCGUGAGUUCCACAUGAAGAGGCUGAAAUUAAUAAACUCCUUUGAACUCAGAGGACACCACCCAGGCUGAGCUGCAAAUGCUGCCACCUGUUUAUUUCUGGCUCAGACGGGGGCCAGCCGUGCAGGUGUGCGUGCCCGGGGCAGCUGGGGGCUACCUGUGGGUUUGCUGAGUUUCCGUGGCACAUGUGGAUCUCUGUCUGGUCUGCACAUCUGCGUGAAGGAGGGUCAGGAGAGGACUCGGCUGUCUGCGGAUCCCUAAGGGCAAAGAUUUAUUUGAUAGUUUCCCCAACUAGACAGCACGACACCGAGGAUCAAGGGCUGCUUUUAUCCACCUCUGCAAUCCCAGCAGCACCAGCGCUGUGUGCGGGGGCUGCUCAGCCACUGUUCCCUCAAAGAUGCACCUGUUCCCUUAACAAAUGCCCUGCCAUGGGCCUGGCUACGUGUGGUGGUGGCCACUGCCACAGUAAACAAGCGGGAGUCCCCCCCAUCAGGGAGCCGGGGGUCUCAGGGGAGAUGGAGACGGAUGGAUGAAGAAAUCCCCAAAUAGGAGGUUACGCAAGUCCCUUCUGGUGGCUGACGGUGCAUGGGACUAUUUAUAGACAGACAAAAGAACAAAUGGAAAAACCAAGUGUCGUGUGUGCGGGAGGAGGUAUCAGAAGACAAAGAAUGCUGGCCCUGGCGUGGCACCUGGGGACUCCUGUCCUGCUGCUGCUGCUGAUCAGUGACGAGUCCCUGCUCACCCACGCCCUCAGCUUGCUCCUUCACUGAGUAAAGGUUUAGCGUGGGCUCUGCUUGCCUGUGACCGUGAACCUGGAUGGAUGCAGCUGCACAUUUCCAAUCUAGACCUGAGAGGCUUUCAAAAGACGCUCGACUGGAGUCUGCCCAGGGCCGCUGGGCGGAGGCACAUGGCCUGAUCUCAGAGAAAUCAUUGAUAGGAAGAUUCACGACAGCCCUCCUGCUGCAGAGUUGGCCAAGCACCCUAGAUAAGCAGCAGCCAAACCAAGGCUGACCACACUUGAGCAGAGAAAGACUCUUAAGAAACAGACCCAACUGGACCAGCCAGGACUGCGGACUAGUUCAUCUCAGAUCCCAUGACUGCCCCGCACCAUCAGUGGUGACCACGAGGAAGGAUCCUAGGGUCCAAAAGAAGUUUGACGGUUGGGCACUUCCAGAGGAGACAGGGAUUACGCAGACACCCAAACCGUCUCGGCCUCCAGUUCUUCACUGAGAACGGGGCACGGAUUGCUCAAGGCACCGGCUAAGGGAGUGGUCCUGGUCUGGAUUACGUGAGCCCGGGGCCCUGUGCUGUGUCAGUCUAAUGGUGUGACCGCACCUUGCUUCUGAGAUCCCAAGCUUUCCUUCUGAACAAGCUCAUGAGGGGACACAUGCGCUUCCUCCCGGUUCGUCCUGCGGCACGUGAAGGUCCUGUGCAUUCUGCCCCCCACCUCCCCUCCUCCCACUCCAGUGCUCUGUGGCUGCUCCCCUGUCCCCCUCAGCUUUAGAAUCCUUCCUGCAGAAUGAACACUUUUCUGUGGGACUCAGGGCUGGUGGCUGUGCUUGGGUAGAGGAGCUACAUGUUCUUCUUUGAAAUCAGCGCUAUAAACAGGUAUUUUGAUACGGG